rnacentral:misc_RNA from 1 species
CGCACCUUGCGCUCCUUGGUAUUCCGAGGAGCAUGCCUGUUUGAGUGUCUUGAAGUCAUCAACCCCUCCCGUUUCGUGCGGUGGAGGGUUGGAGCUGGGGGACAUGCCGCCGCGAGGCGGCUCCCCUCAAAUGCUUCGGUUGGGCCUGUGGGUCGAACUCGACUGGGCGUUGUACCAUCCUCGCUCGACAGAGACGUUCCCCUCUUGUGCCUGGCCUCGACCUGCCUCUAGAGCGGCGGUCAAAGCAACUUUGAAAUCUGACCUCAAAUCAGGUAGGACUACCCGCUGAACUUAA